rnacentral:rRNA from 1 species
GACGGAAGGUGCAAGCGUUGCUCGGAAUCACUGGGCGUAAAGGGUGCGUAGGCGGCCGUGCAAGUCUGGCGUGAAAGCCCCGGGCUCAGCCCGGGAAGUGCGCUCGAAACUGCGCGGCUCGAGUGCCGGAGGGGAGAGUGGAAUUCCUGGUGUAGCGGUGAAAUGCGUAGAUAUCAGGAGGAAUACCGGUGGCGAAAGCGGGAUCCUGGGCCAGUACUGACGCUGAGGAGCGAAAGCGUGGGGAGCAAACAGG